rnacentral:rRNA from 1 species
UACAGAGGUCUCAAGCGUUGUUCGGAAUCACUGGGCGUAAAGGGUGCGUAGGCCGCACGGUAAGUCAGAGGUGAAAUCCCGGAGCUCAACUCCCGCAUGGCAUUGGAAACUGGGUGACUAGAGUGUGGUAGAGGUCUCGGGAAUUCCAGGUGUAGCGGUGAAAUGCGUAGAUAUCUGGAGGAACACCAGUGGCGAAAGCAGCACUCUGGGACGUGACUGACGCUGAGACGCGAAAGCGUGGGGAGCAAACAGG